rnacentral:ncRNA from 1 species
AGGAUCUUAGAAGUUCUACUAUUUCGUGCACAAUCAGCAAGGAUUGGACACGGAUGUCCAAUCCAGCAGCAAUCGAGCCCGGAUGGCUCGUUGAUGCGUUUGCGUCCUACCUAUAUAGCCUAUCCGAAAUAGUUUAGAACAACCAA